AUGAUAACAUCGUUGCAUCCUAUAUUUUCAAGCAUUAUCAAACCUUUUCGCACAGCUAUUAUUUCAGCUGUGCUAGCAUCAUACACAUUAUUCACAAGCCAUGAGCCACCUGCUACUGCCCUACUUGCAAUUUCGAAUCACUGCUGCUGCUCCCGACCCAUCUUGAAAAAAAAAAUGCGUCCACGUUCAUUUUGUAGCUGUCAGCCGAAGGUUUCUGCAAUGGUAGUCCACAUUCAUCUUGUAGCUGCCGGCCGAAGGUUGGUAUUUUAUGUGGCUGUAUCACGCUCUGAGUCGCUGCAAAGUUUGAUUUGA
rnacentral:rRNA from 1 species